GUGUGUGUAUAUAAUGCAGUGUGUUUGUGUAGUGUGCAUUAUAUACACACAUUACACAAACACACUGCAUUAUAUACACAGU
rnacentral:miRNA from 1 species